rnacentral:rRNA from 1 species
AUUGAACGCUGGCGGCAGGCCUAUCACAUGCAAGUCGGGCGGUAACAGGAAUCAGCUUGCUGAUUCGCUGACGAGCGGCGGACGGGUGAGUAAUGUCUGGGAAACUGCCUGAUGGAGGGGGAUAACUACUGGAAACGGUAGCUAAUACCGCAUAACGUCUUCGGACCAAAGUGGGGGACCUUCGGGCCUCAUGCCAUACGAUGUGCCCAGAUGGGAUUAGCUUGUUGGUGGGGUAACGGCUCACCAAGGCGACGAUCCCUAGCUGGUCUGAGAGGAUGACCAGCCACACUGGAACUGAGACACGGUCCAGACUCCUACGGGAGGCAGCAGUGGGGAAUAUUGCACAAUGGGCGCAAGCCUGAUGCAGCCAUGCCGCGUGUAUGAAGAAGGCCUUCGGGUUGUAAAGUACUUUCAGCGGGGAGGAAGGUGUUGUGGUUAAUAACCACAGCAAUUGACGUUACCCGCAGAAGAAGCACCGGCUAACUCCGUGCCAGCCGCCGCCGUAAGAC